rnacentral:lncRNA from 1 species
CUGAACCAUGAACAAUGUAGUCUUUGUAAGAAGGCACAGAAGUGUAGCCUAAAUUUUAAAAGCCUUUAGUGUUGCAAUGGAUAGAUGUUGGCACUUGAAGACAAGCUUUGCCUCUCUAGAAAAUUCAUCCAUGUGGAACCUCUCUUUGCCUGAAGAUGCUAGAGUGAAGCAUCUAACUUUAUGCUAUAAAAAUCUAAAUGACAACACGAGGCAGGAGGACAUGCACUGGAUUUAGUUUCAGGAAAUAUCUGGGUUUGAAGUUCAUCUCUAGAACUACAUUUGUAGCACAGAGGAUAAAGCAGGAGGCCUGGAGUCAGGAGGGAGGAUCUGGAUUCAAAUCUACCUGCAGUCACUUCCUAACUGUGUGAACCUGGGCAAGUCACUUAACCUCGAUUGCUGUUCUUCUAUCUUGGUAAGAAUUUUUUAAAAUGAGAGGAUAUGCUUUUUGAAGUCUAAAGUAUGUAGAGACAGGUAUGUGAAGGAAAGAACUUGUUCAUUUGGUAAAGGUUGUUACUGUAGUAUAAAGGAAUAAGUAUGUGUUGAGAUGGAGUGCUACCACUCAUUGAGCCUGGGAAAGCAAACUGGCUCAGGGACCAAGAGGGUCCAGGCUGUUCCCCAGGUUCCAAGUUCUGAAGCACUUAUUCCCUAUUUAUUUUCCUCUUGCUGCUGCUACUGCCAUAACUUCUUACUCUAGCUGGUGUCUGCUUCUUCAACACAACCCAAACUCUAUGGAAUUGAGUCAUGAGGGAAAAUGAGCAAACAGUAAGAGGUGAAAGCCUUGGGAAUAACUGUAAAAGUUCCCUGGAGUAGUUCCAAUUAGAGGAGCUGGAGCAAUGGCCCAUGGCCAGAUCCUUCACGGCACCCAAAAGGAGGCUUAUAUUCACAACUACAAAGUGCUUUGCUUAAGUCUAGUUAGGGGUAGAGCAGGACUUAAAGGCAAUUCUUCUGAUUGUUCAGUAUGCCAUCCCAAUACACGAGGCUGAUGUUCUCAGGCAUACCUGGGCACUCUGGGGACCUAGGGUCUAGUUUUGAGCUACCCCCAUUACUCACUGAGUAAACUUACAGAUAUCAGACUUGAAGAAUAUUAAGUCUUUGGGGCUUGAAGAGACCUAGAAGUCAUUUCAUUCAACCCUCUUCUGUUAGAGAUGGGAAAUAAUGUAGUGCAGAGGAAAGAGUGUGGAAUUUGGAAUCAGCAGACCUGGAUUUGAAUCCUAGUUUGUUUAUUUAGUAAUUGGGGAUCUAGACUGAGUCACUGAAUCUCUGGGCCUCAGUUUCUUCAUAUGUAAAAUGAAAUAUUUGGAAUUAGAGAACCUCAGUUCAAAUGUUGGUUCUGUCACUUAUUUAGCCAAGCUACUUAACCCAUUUUGA